AAAAAAACCAUUUUUCCCCUUUUCUUUUUUUUUCUUUCUUUCUCUCGGCUCUCUCCCUCCGAAACUCUCCCUCCACUUCUCUCCUCGAUUUCAUCUACUUAGAGCGUGAUUCCGAACAAAGCCCAAGAAUUAAAGUCGUUAUACGGCGCAUGGGCUUUCCGAAUAUCCAAGAAAAAUCAUGAUCGGACCACGUGGGAGUUUGGUUGACUUGGUCAAAGGUUCGGGUUUUGCUCAAAACCCAUGAGGAAGUUCGAGUCGUCACGUGGAUCGAGGAAGCGACGCGUAGUGUGGCAGAGUGUUUACUUUUGAGAUGUGUUGUAUAUUUGGAAAAGAAAGUUAUACUUCAUGAUCACUUAGCUUUGUGUAUGAUUUGUUUAGUUUGUAAAUUUGUAGGUAAGCACAGCUCUGAGAGGUUUAUCCUUUUGGUUUGUAAACCUAUGUAAGACUUUGGUUUGUUAUCAAUAAAAGUUAACUUUUGCUUC